rnacentral:rRNA from 1 species
CAGUCGAACGAACACUUUAACUUGAUUCUUCGGAUGAAGGUUUUUGUGACUGAGUGGCGGACGGGUGAGUAACGCGUGGGUAACCUGCCUCAUACAGGGGGAUAACAGUUAGAAAUGACUGCUAAUACCGCAUAAGACCACAGAGCCGCAUGGCUCGGUGGGAAAAACUCCGGUGGUAUGAGAUGGACCCGCGUCUGAUUAGGUAGUUGGUGGGGUAACGGCCUACCAAGCCAACGAUCAGUAGCCGACCUGAGAGGGUGACCGGCCACAUUGGGACUGAGACACGGCCCAAACUCCUACGGGAGGCAGCAGUGGGGAAUAUUGCACAAUGGGGGGAACCCUGAUGCAGCGACGCCGCGUGAGCGAAGAAGUAUUUCGGUAUGUAAAGCUCUAUCAGCAGGGAAGAAAAUGACGGUACCUGACUAAGAAGCACCGGCUAAAUACGUGCCAGCAGCCGCGGUAAUACGUAUGGUGCAAGCGUUAUCCGGAUUUACUGGGUGUAAAGGGAGCGUAGACGGCUGUGUAAGUCUGAAGUGAAAGCCCGGGGCUCAACCCCGGGACUGCUUUGGAAACUAUGCAGCUAGAGUGUCGGAGAGGUAAGUGGAAUUCCCAGUGUAGCGGUGAAAUGCGUAGAUAUUGGGAGGAACACCAGUGGCGAAGGCGGCUUACUGGACGAUGACUGACGUUGAGGCUCGAAAGCGUGGGGAGCAAACAGGAUUAGAUACCCUGGUAGUCCACGCCGUANACGAUGACUACUNGGUGUCGGGGAGCAAAGCUCUUCGGUGCCGCAGCAAACGCAAUAAGUAGU